CCGGGUUCCUCCGGUGCCUUCCGGGUGGGAUCUGGGAUGCGGGGGGUGCAGGCAUCGCCGCGCGACUGCGCUCGGUCCAAGGAAAACGCUUUAUCCGCUCCCCUCGCUGUUCUAAUCCCCUCGGUAACAGCAGGUCCCACGCGAAGCCCCCGUCGGGCACAGCCUCACGGGCACUGGGCCGGGGCCGGGGCAGCGGCGCAUCCGCAGCGUGGUCCCGGCCUGCGGGAUGAUGCUCGGUCCCCCCCCGGGCUCUGCCGGCAGCCCCGGCCCCGCUGACAUGAACUGAUGCUCCGCUUGUCUGUAUCUGAAUUUUAUUUUUCAGAAGCCUCAUCAGGAAUAGGGCUCGGGACAGGUAAAUGGAUUCUUGCCUCAUGGCUCCUGGAAGGAAAUGUAGCCAAAUUCUGGCUCGCUUCUUUGUCUUGAAACCACCAUUUCCUCCUACACCUGAUGAUAUUAGUCCCCUGCGCGGCCCCCGCGGCGGAGCAGCCACACAGGCCAGGGGGACACUGCACAGCACCCGCAGAGCUGGUGACCACAGGUAGGACCCCGGGGAGGGGGACAUGGAUGGUACCAGCCCCUUGCUGUCCCCUCGUGACCCGGGAGGGCUCUAUGCAGUGGGGAGCCGGCCUUCCUCCCAGGGACCCCAUCACGGGCUCUCCCCAGGCUCCAGUGGGUCCAUGGGGUCCCCAGGACCACCUGCAUGAGAGGACGUGACCCUGCACAUGCCCAGCGGUGGGGAGGGGCUGCCGCCGCGCUGCCAGGGUCUCACAGCAUCUCUGCUCCCCAGGGGCAGAGCCCCAGCUCCUGCCCGGUGCCUGGAGGGGAGCCGGGGCUCGGGCAUCACCAUCGCUUCCCCUACACGGAUGCUGGAGCCGGGCCGGCUGGCACAGAGCACCCCGGUGCUGGCUGCCAUGGGCUGGAGCCACUGCGGGGGACACGGCCGAGGAGGCGGCGCUGGGGACACCUGAGGACACGGGGCUGCAGCUACAAGGUGCUGGGUCCCCUUCCCUCCCGCUGCUCCACCCCAGCCGGACCCAGAGCACGGGAUCCCCCAUGCACCCUCCACAGCAGUGGGCAGGGCAUGGGCAGGGUGAGACCCAUCCCCUUCACUGAACGCAGUGUGUGAGGAGGGAGAAGGGAAAUGGGAUGGGAGAGGAGCUGUACCUGCUCCUCAAGGAGACACAAUGGCCAGAGUACAAAGGGACUGUGGCUGUUCCCAGUGAUGCUGCCUGUCCCUCUGUCAGCAAAUCCCUGGUGCUUUCUGCUCUGGCAGGGCCAUGUUCCAGCAGGGCCCUGUCUCUGCUCUGCUUGGAGAAAACACCUUGUGUAUGGAGCAGCCAGGAGCACAGGGAGGAACACAGGCACUGAGGUGCCCAUGGCAUGGCCUCUGUGGGGCUAUGUGGGGUGACAGUGGCCCCAUAAGUGGAUACAACCAUUGCGACCAUUGCCCACUCCAGUGAGCAUCCCCUGAGCAGGCAGGAGGGCUGAGGGCAGACACAGCUUGUGACAGGCGUUACAGCCCCUUGAAGUCCAAAACAGAGGCUUCCUUGUGGGGACCAGAGGGCACUCGUGCUGCAGGAGGAGGUGACGCAGAGGGACAUGGGGUGACCUGGCUGCCCCUUUGCUCAGCCUUAUCUCUCAGGGUACGGUGCAGAGCCUGCUCCUGCUCCUGCAAUGAGCACUGCUCAGCCACUGCAGGCAGGACAAGGGCUUUCCUCUGCUCCAUGUCCUGGUUUUCCCCUCUCAGGCAGUGGGAGCUCAGUGGAGACCCAGUGCAGCUGUUGCUGUCUCUGCAAAAGCCCUGUUCUUGUAGAGCUGCCAUAGCCUCGCGCAGGCACCGGCAGUGAUGCUCUCACCCUUUCCCUCCAUGCUUCUUCCAGCUCCUUUAGUUCCCUUACCCUGGAGCCUUGCAGUGCAGUGCGGGAUUGCCUCUCUCUGCUGCCCAUCUUCUCCAGUGCUGGGGGUGGGAGACACGUGUUGUGUGGGGCAUGGGCUCCUCGGGGUGCAGGACGCCCGGGGCAGACCCCUGUGAAGCAGGAUCCAUGGCACAGGCUAAACCCUCCACUAACACCUUCCCCACCCUGGUGACCCAGACCCCUGGUUCCAAGCAGCCCCAUCCCUGGGCAGGGUGCUGGGGAGCGGGCUGGGCUCUGCAUGCUGCCCUUGCUCGGGUGCUGAGCACUAACCCACUAACCGGCCAGCGCAUGCCCUACUAACACCGUGUCUCGCCUCCCACUAACCCCGGCCAGCACUGGCUUCAAAGGGGAACGGAAAAGCUGGGUCAGUGAUGUGAGAGGUGCUGGUGCAGGCAGGGCCGCGCAGCCCCUGCCCGCAGGAGGUGAGGUUCCUGCUGGCUCUGCCUGUGGAGCUGCUGCUGACUCGGAGCCUGAACCGGUUUUAUCAGCAGAAGCUUUUCAGUUCCUUUUUAAGCCAGUGGCCCUAAUGUUCCCGAACCGAAUUAAACUAACCCUGCUGCUUUUCUCUUCAUUUCUUUUCCAGCGUGUGUGGUCCUCUAAGAGCGGCUGUGCCAUGCUUCUGUCACUAACCACCUAUACUAACUGCUCCUGACUUGUUCCUCCACUGCUACUAACAAAUACUCUUUGCACUUUAACUCUCGGGCGCUCUUCGCCAUGACACGAACAGUGGCCUCCUCCUGGAGCCCUGGGCUUCAGUGCAGCUGAGCAUCUUU